UCUCYGUACGGGAAGGGAAGGAUGAGAAGCUUCGAYUAAGGUUCGAUUCGAGCGAAAGCGAGAAAGCGUUGCCGCAGGCAACGACCCGAAGGGCGAAACGCGCAGCGCUGAGUCAUCCUUCCCCCACCACCA
rnacentral:sRNA from 1 species